UUAGCGGCGGACGGGUGAGUAACACGUGGGCAACCUACCUUAUAGUUUGGGAUAACUCCGGGAAACCGGGGCUAAUACCGAAUAWUUUAUUUCACUUCAUGGUGGAAUACURAAAGACGGUCUCGGCUGKCGCUAUAGGAUGGGCCCGCGGCGCAUUARCUAGUUGGUGAGGUAACGGCUCACCAAGGCGACGAUGCGUAGCCGACCUGARAGGGUGAUCGGCCACACUGGGACUGAGACACGGCCCARACUCCUACGGGAGGCAGCAGUAGGGAAUCUUCCACAAUGGGCGAAAGCCUGAUGGAGCAACGCCGCGUGAGUGAAGAARGAUUUCGGUUCSUAAAACUCUGUUGUAAGGGAAGAACAAGUACAGUAGUAACUGGCUGUACCUUGACGGUACCUUAUUAGAAAGCCACGGCUAACUACGUGCCAGCAGCCGCGGUAAUACGUAGGUGGCAAGCGUUGUCCGGAAUUAUUGGGCGUAAAGCGCGCGCAGGUGGUUUCUUAAGUCUGAUGUGAAAGCCCACGGCUCAACCGUGGAGGGUCAUUGGAAACUGGGAGACUUGAGUGCAGAAGAGGAUAGUGGAAUUCCAAGUGUAGCGGUGAAAUGCGUAGAGAUUUGGAGGAACACCAGUGGCGAAGGCGACUAUCUGGUCUGUAACUGACACUGAGGCGCGAAAGCGUGGGGAGCAAACAGGAUUAGAUACCCUGGUAGUCCACGCCGUAAACGAUGAGUGCUAAGUGUUAGGGGGUUUCCGCCCCUUAGUGCUGCAGCUAACGCAUUAAGCACUCCGCCUGGGGAGUACGGUCGCAAGACUGAAACYUCAAAGGAAUUGACGGGGGCCCGCACAAGCGGUGGAAGCAUGUGGUUUAAUUCGAAGCAACGCGAAGAACCCUUACCAGGUCUUGACA
rnacentral:rRNA from 1 species